AAUUUUUUUUUUUUUUUUAAGAUUACACACGUCUAAUAAUUAUUUCUGUUCACACACCCUGUUGAGCCAAACCGUUCAUAGCGGACGUUUCUAAAACAAAUUUGUUUUAUUUAUUUUUUUUUUAAUCUAACCAGAUC